rnacentral:rRNA from 1 species
UACGGAGGGUGCAAGCGUUAUCCGGAUUCACUGGGUUUAAAGGGUGCGUAGGCGGGUUGGUAAGUCCGUGGUGAAAUCUCCGAGCUUAACUCGGAAACUGCCGUGGAUACUAUCAAUCUUGAAUAUCGUGGAGGUAAGCGGAAUAUGUCAUGUAGCGGUGAAAUGCUUAGAUAUGACAUAGAACACCAAUUGCGUAGGCAGCUUACUACAGGGAUAUUGACACUGAGGCACGAAAGCGUGGGGAUCAAACAGG